GUCGAAUCUGCCCACUGAUUUUUAAAGGGCCGCGGUAUAUUGACCGUGCAAAGGUAGCAUAAUCAUUAGUCUUUUAAUUGAGGACUGGAAUGAAAGGUAGGACGAGGUAAUAACUGUCUCUGUUUAUAGAAUAAAAUUUAAUUUUUUAGUUAAAAAGCUGAAAUAAUAUUAAGGGACGAGAAGACCCUAUAGAUCUUUAUAAAUAGAGUUUAUUAUUUUAAGAAUCUUUUAAAAUCCUAAGUUUAUAUUUAUUUAGUUGGGGUGAUUUAAAUAUACAAAAACUAUUUUUAAUUAUUUCAUCUCUUGAUGUAUAAAAGAUCCAUAAAUAAUGAUAGUAAGAUUAAGAUACCUUAGGGAUAACAGCGUAAUCUUUUUAAAGAGUUCAAAUCGAAAAAGAGGAUUGCGACCUCGAUGUUGGAUUAAAAGUAUAUCAGGUGUAGCUGCUUGAUUGAAUGGUCUGUUCGAC
rnacentral:rRNA from 1 species